UACGUAGGGGGCGAGCGUUGUCCGGAUUUAUUGGGCGUAAAGAGCGUGUAGGCGGUUCGGUAAGUCUGUCGUGAAAUCCUGAGGCUCAACCUCGGACGUGCGAUGGAUACUGCCGGGCUAGAGGAUGGUAGAGGCGAGUGGAAUUCCCGGUGUAGCGGUGAAAUGCGCAGAUAUCGGGAGGAACACCAAUGGCGAAGGCAGCUCGCUGGGCAUUAACUGACGCUGAGGAGCGAAAGCAUGGGGAGCGAACAGG
rnacentral:rRNA from 1 species